GACAGAGGGGGCAAGCGUUGCUCGGAAUUACUGGGCGUAAAGGGCGCGUAGGCGGGCUGGCAAGUCGGUCGUGAAAUCCCUCGGCUCAACCGAGGAACGUCGAUCGAUACUGCUGUUCUUGAGGAUUGCAGAGGAGACUGGAAUUCCCGGUGUAGCGGUGAAAUGUGUAGAGAUCCGGAAGAACACCGGUGGCGAAGGCGGCCUGCUGGGCAGUUGCUGACACUGAGGCGCGACAGCGUGGGGAGCAAACAGG
rnacentral:rRNA from 1 species